rnacentral:lncRNA from 1 species
UCUGAUCUAAAGCUCUAAGUUGAGGCUUUUGCUUCAUACCUGAGCUCCUGGAUCGAGAUUAGCUUUCGGGGACCCUUCGUAACUUAUGGUGCCGUUUGAUUUUCCGUGAUCUCUAGCAUUGUGUGAUUAUUACACAAGAACUUCAAAGCAAUCUCAGGAGCUAUCGCUUAGGAUGAUGAUUGUGAUACUAGGGCAGACCUGUGCCUUAGAGACAUAAAACGAAGAUAGACUUAGUUUAAUUAUGUUAAAAACUCUUUAUUUCCUGUUUGAAGACAAUGUAACACUCGUGUUUAAUAAAUAAAAUAUAACUUUGUAUGC